GCUCGUGGCGCUUUCGGCGAAGGAGACGGAGCUGGAAGACGGGGCGGAAGGGUUUUUUUUUGCCGGAGGGCGGAGCUUACGUAACCAGGGAAGAGUCCCAACUCACGCUUCUCUUCGCGAGAGGCUCCGGACGCGCAAGCUCAGCGGCCAUGGCUCACGGACCCAGCCGCUCCGCGGAAUCCCGGACCGGGGCACGAACCCAUGUCCCCUACAUCGGCAGGCGGACUCUCAACCACUGCACCACCAGGGAAGCCCAAGGAAGUUGGUACUUUUUGACUGCCUUUAUCCAUCCCUUACCCCCCACCACAAAUCUGAUCUCUUUCUCUGUAAGUUUUGUUUUUUUAUAAAUUUGUUUAUUUUUUGGCUGUGCUGGGUCUUUGUUGCUGCACGCGGGCUUUCUCUAGUUUCGGCGAGUGGGGAGCUACUCUUCAUUGAGGUGCACAGGCUUCUCAUUGCGGUGGCUUCUCUUGUUGCAGAGCACGGGCUCUAGGCUUGGGGGCUUCAGUAGUUGUGGCAAACAGGCUCAGUAGUUGUGGCUCACGGGCUCAAAAGCGCAGGCUCAGUAGUUGUGGUGCAUGGGCUUAGUUGCUCUGCGGCAUGUGGGAUCUUCCCAGACCAGGGCUCGAACCCAUGUCCCUUGCAUUGGCAGGCAGAUUCUUAACCACUGCGUCACCAGGGAAGUCCCCAUUUUUUUUUUCUUCUCUGCCCAUUUUUUAAUCUUUUUAUUUUAAUUGUAUGAGUUCUUUGUGUAUUUUGGAUAUUAACCCCUUAUCAGAUAUAUUAUUUGCAAGUAUCUUAUCCUAUUCUGUAGGCAGCCUUUUCAUUUUGCUGAUAGUUUCCUUUGCUAUGCAAAAGCUUUUUAGUUUGAUAUAGUCCCAUUUGUUGAUUUUUGCUUUUGUUUCCCUUGUCUGAGGAGACAUAUUCAAAAAAAUAUUGCUAAGAUUGGUGUCACAGAGCAUACUCCAUAUGUUUUCUUUUAGAAAUUUUAUGGUUUCAGAUCUUACAUUUCUUAGUUAGAUUUAUUCCUAGGUAUUUCAUUCUUUUUGAUGUGAUUGUAAAUGGGAUUGUUUUCUUAAUUUUUUUCCUGAUAAUUCAUUGAUAGUGUGUAGAAAUGCAACAGAUUUCUAUAUGUUAAUUUUGUAUACUCCAACUUUACUAGAUUCAUUGGUGAGUUCUAGUAGUUUCUUUGUGGCAUCUUUAGAAUUUUCUAUGUAUAGUAUCAUGUCAUCUUCAAACUGACAGUUUUACUUCUUCCUUUCCAAUCUGAAUUCCUCUUAUUUCUUUUUUUUUGUCUGAUUAUUGUAGCUAGGACUUCCGAUACUAUGUUGAAUGAAAGUGGGCAUCCUUGUAUUCUUCCUGAUCUUAGAGGAAAUGUUUCAGUUUUUCACCAUUGAGUAUGAUGUUAGCUGUGGGCUUGUUAUAUAUGGCCUUUAUUAUGUUGAGGUAUGCUCCCUCUGUGCCCACUUUCUGGAGAGUUUUAAUCAUAAAUGAAUGUUGAAUUUAUCACAAGCUUUUCCUACAUCUGUUGAGAUGACCAUAUGAUUUUUAUUCCUCAGUUUAUUAAUGUGGUGUAUCACAUUGACUGAUUUAUGGACAUUGAUCCAUCGUUGCAUCCCUGGGAUAAAUCCCACUUGAUCAUGGUGUACAAUCCUUUUAAUGUAUUGUUGAAUUCCAUUUGCUAAUAGUUUUUGAGGAUUUCUGCAUCUCGGUUCAUCUGUGAUAUUGGCCUAUAAUUUUUAUUUUUUUGUGAUAUCUUUAUCUGGAUUUGGUAUCAGGGUGAUACUGGCCUUAUAAAAUGGGUUCAGAAGUGUUUCUUCCUCUGCAGUUUUCUGGAAUAGUUGGAGAAGGAUGGAUGGUAACUCUUCUUUUUUUUGCGGUACGCGGGCCUCUCACUGCUGUGGCCUCUCCCGUUGCGGAGCACAGGCUCCGGACGCGCAGGCUCAGCGGCCAUGGCUCACGGGCCCAGCCGCUCCGCGGCAUGUGGGAUCUUCCCGGACUGGGGCACGAACCCUUGUCCCUUGCAUCGGCAGGCGGACUCUCAGCCACUGCGCCACCAGGGAAGCCCUGGUAACUCUUCUCUAAAUGUUUGGUAGAAUUUAUCUUUGGUAGAAGCAUUGUGGUUCUGGAGUUUUGUCUGUUGAGAGGCUUUUUUUUUUUUUUUUUUAAUUACUGAUUCAAUUUCAUUACUGGUAACUGAUCUGUUCAUAUUUUCUAUUCCUGAUUCAGUCUUGGGAGAGUGUACAUUUCUAGGAAUUUGUCCAUUUCUUCUAGGUUGUCCAUUUUAUUGGCGUAUAAUUAUUUGUAAAAAUCUCUUAUGAUCCUUUGUAUUUCUGUGGUGUCAGUUGUAACUUCUCCUUUUUCAUUUCUGAUUUUAUUGAUUUGGGCCCUCUCCCUUUUUCUUGAUGAGUCUGGCUAAAGGUUUAUCAAUUUUGUUUAUCUUUUCAAAGAACAGCUCUUUCAUUAAUAUUUUCUGUUUUUUGUCUCUAUUUCAUUUAUUUCUGUUCUCAUCUUUAUUAUUUCUUUCCUUCUACUAAUUUUGGGGUUUGUUUGUUCUUCUUUAUCUAGUUCCUUUAGGUGCAAAGUUAGAUUAUUUGAGGUUUUUCCUGUUUCCAGGGGUAGGCUUGUAUCGCUAUAAACUUCCCUCCUAGAAAUGUUUCUGCUGCAUCCCAUUGAUUGUGGAUCAUUGUGUUUUCGUUUUCAUUUGUCUCCAGCUUUUAAAAAUUUCCUCUUUGAUUUUUUAAGUGACCCAUUGUCAACAACGAUGUUCUGAAGGCACCAGAGAUAUGCGCAGAAUAUUAUAGAAGUAGAGGAAUAAAAAUCAGAUUGUGCCUGAGCAGGUUCAGAAAUGCUUCUAGAAAAAUGUGACUCUUAUUAAGUGAUAUGAAGAACUAGUUAAAAUUUAGCCAGGGGACUUCCCUGGUAGUCCAGUGAUUAAGAAUUCACCUUCCAAUGCAGGGGACACAUGUUCGAUCCCUGGUCAGGGAACUAAGAUCCCACAUGCCUCAGGGUAACUAAGCCUGCAUGCCACGACUACUGAGCCCACACGCCACAACUAGAGAGCCUGAACGCUGCAACUACUGAGCCCAUGUGCUCUGUAGCCCAUGCGCCACAACUAGAGAAAAGCCCGUGUGCCGCAACAAGGAGCCCGCACACCACAACGAAAGAUCCCGCAUGUCACAACAAAGAUCCUGUGUGCUGCAACUAAGACCCGAUGCAGCCAAAUAAAUAA